rnacentral:rRNA from 1 species
AUUUCUGCUCCAUGAUAUGUUAAAUAGCCGCAGUACUCUGACUGUGCAAAGGUAGCAUAAUCAAUUGGCUCCUAAUUAGAGUCUGGAAUGAAUGAAUAUAUGGGGAGGAGCUGUCUCAAGACCAUUUCUUCGAAUUUGGUUGCGGGUGAAAACCCCCGCAAAUUUAUAAAAGACGAGAAGACCCUAGAAACUUAUUUAAUUAUUUUGUUGGGGCGACAGAAUUACAUAUAACUAAUUCUUUAUUACGGGACGAUUUCAGAUAGUUAAAGUUACUCUAGGGAUAACAGCAUAAUAUUUUUGUUUGUGACCUCGAUGUUGGACUAGGUAAAGUAUUCCUUAGAAGGGAAUAUAUGUGCUCUGUUCGAGCCAGGAAACCU